rnacentral:rRNA from 1 species
GACGAACGCUGGCGGCGUGCUUACCACAUGCAAGUCAAACGGUGAAGGAAAGCUUGCUUUCUGGAUCAAUGGCGAACGGGUGAUUAACACGUGGGCAAUCUGCCCCAAACUCUGGGAUAACUCUUCAAAAGAGGGGCUAAUACCGGAUAUUCGGUUUUGAAGACAUCUUCCAAUUCGGAAAGUUUUUCGGUCUGGGAUGAGCCCGCGGCCUAUCAGCUUGUUGGUGAGGUAACGGCUCACCAAGGCAACGACGGGGAGCCGGCCUGAGAGGCCAACCGCCCACACUGGGACUGAGACACGGCCCAAACUCCUAGGGGAGGCACCAGUGGGAAAUAUUGGGCAAGGGACAAAAGUCUGACCCAGCAGCGCCCCGUGAGGAAUGAAGGUCUUCAGAUUGUAAACCUCUUUCAGCAGGCACAAACCAAAUGUGAGGGUACCUGCAAAAAAAUCACCGGUUAACUACUUGCCACCAC